GUGAAUCAUCGAAUCUUUGAACGCAUAUUGCACUCGCUGGUAUUCCGGAGAGUAUGCCUGUUUGAGGGUAAUUAAAAAGAAUCUUUAACUUAUUUUUUUUGGUUAAAGGAAAUGAGGUCUCCGUGUUUAUAGCGGUAGCUUGAAAUAAAUGGUCAAGUAUCAUUUCAGUCGAGACGUGUAAUAAUAUUAUUUCGCGAAAUCUUCAUUCUGUG
rnacentral:misc_RNA from 1 species